rnacentral:tRNA from 1 species
GCCGACGUAGCUCAGUGGUUAGAGCGAAGCCCUCAUAAAGCUUAGGCCGGAGGUUCGAGUCCUCCCGUCGGCA